UACGGGGGGUGCAAGCGUUGUCCGGAAUCAUUGGGCGUAAAGCGUUCGUAGGCGGCAAGGUAAGUCUGAUGUUAAAGCCCGGGGCUCAACUCCGGUUCGGCAUUGGAUACUAUCUAGCUAGAAUGUGGUAGAGGUAAAGGGAAUUCCUGGUGUAGCGGUGAAAUGCGUAGAUAUCAGGAGGAACAUCGGUGGCGAAAGCGCUUUACUGGACCAUUAUUGACGCUGAGGAACGAAAGCCAGGGGAGCAAAUG
rnacentral:rRNA from 1 species